rnacentral:rRNA from 1 species
GAUGAACGCUGGCGGCGUGCCUAAUACAUGCAAGUCGAGCGAACAGACGAGGAGCUUGCUCCUCUGACGUUAGCGGCGGACGGGUGAGUAACACGUGGAUAACCUACCUAUAAGACUGGGAUAACUUCGGGAAACCGGAGCUAAUACCGGAUAAUAUAUUGAACCGCAUGGUUCAAUAGUGAAAGACGGUUUUGCUGUCACUUAUAGAUGGAUCCGCGCCGCAUUAGCUAGUUGGUAAGGUAACGGCUUACCAAGGCAACGAUGCGUAGCCGACCUGAGAGGGUGAUCGGCCACACUGGAACUGAGACACGGUCCAGACUCCUACGGGAGGCAGCAGUAGGGAAUCUUCCGCACUGGGCGAAAGCUUGACGGAGCAACGCCGCGUGAGUGAUGAAGGUCUUCGGAUCGUAACGCUCUGUUAUUAGGGAAGAACAAAUGUGUAAGUAACUAUGCACGUCUUGACGGUACCUAAUCAGAAAGCCACGGCUAACUACGUG